AUGGAGGUGGCGAUGGUGGAGUGGUGGCCAUGGUUCGGAUCGGCUGUGGCGAGCACCAUUUUCCUAUGGUCCAUGGUGCAGAACCACAUCCCGGAUGCCCUCCGCCUCAACCUCGCCGCUUUGGCCGCCAAGCUCACCGCCUACUUCAACCCUUACCUCCAGAUCACCAUCUCGGAGAACGGCGCCCAGCGCUGGAAGCGAAGCGAACUCUUCCUCGCCGUCGAGGCCUACCUGAGCGACGCAUGUGCCCGUCGCGCGCGCAGGCUCAAAGCCGAGCUCGGCAAGGACAGCAAGAACAUCCAGGUCUCCAUCGACGACCACGAGGGAGUCACCGAUGACUUCUCCGGCGCCACGCUCUGGUGGCACGCCUCCAAGCAGCGACCCAAUGCCAAUGUCAUCAGUUUGUACCCUGGCGAGGACGAGAAGCGCUUCUACCGGGUCACCUUCCAUAAGCGACACCACGACCUCGUCGUCGAUUCUUACCUGCCUUUCGUCCUCGGCGAGGGCCGCACCAUCAUCAUCAAGAACCGCCAGCGCCUCCUGUUCACCAACAAAGCCAGCGGCAGCUCGAGCCCUUACGGGGCCAGGACCGCCUGGAGCCAUGUACCGUUCGAGCACCCGGCGACCUUCGACACCCUUGCCAUGGACCCCAAACAGAAGGAGGACGUCAUCGACGACCUCAUGGCAUUCCAAGAGAGCAAGGAGUACUACGCUAAGGUCGGCAAGGCGUGGAAGCGCGGGUACCUCCUUUACGGCCCGCCCGGCACCGGCAAGUCCACUAUGAUAGCCGCCAUGGCCAACUUCCUCGACUACGACGUCUACGACCUCGAGCUCACGGCCAUCAACAACAACACCGAGUUGCGAAAGCUCUUCAUCGAGACGACGGGCAAGUCCAUCAUCGUCAUAGAGGACAUUGACUGCUCCGCCGACCUCACCGGAAAACGCCGCAAGGACAAGAAGGCCUCUCGCGACAAGGACUCCGAUGGAAACGACAAACCCAAGUACCAAUCGAGCCAGAGAAGGAUGACGCGACCAAGGUGA
rnacentral:rRNA from 1 species